GUCAUUAUCUAUGCCCUGGUAUUCCUGCUGAGCCUGCUGGGAAACUCCCUCGUGAUGCUGGUCAUCUUAUACAGCAGGGUCGGCCGCUCCGUCACUGAUGUCUACCUGCUGAACCUAGCCUUGGCCGACCUACUCUUUGCCCUGACCUUGCCCAUCUGGGCCGCCUCCAAGGUGAAUGGCUGGAUUUUUGGCACAUUCCUGUGCAAGGUGGUCUCACUCCUGAAGGAAGUCAACUUCUAUAGUGGCAUCCUGCUACUGGCCUGCAUCAGUGUGGACCGUUACCUGGCCAUUGUCCAUGCCACACGCACACUGACCCAGAAGCGCUACUUGGUCAA
rnacentral:lncRNA from 1 species